rnacentral:rRNA from 1 species
AAGCGGUGGAGCAUGUGGUUUAAUUCGACGCAACGCGAAGAACCUUACCAGCCCUUGACAUGGGAAGUAUGGGCCGCAGAGACGCGGUCCGUUUCAGUUCGGCUGGCUUCCACACAGGUGCUGCAUGGCUGUCGUCAGCUCGUGUCGUGAGAUGUUGGGUUAAGUCCCGCAACGAGCGCAACCCCCGUCCUUAGUUGCUACCAUUUAGUUGAGCACUCUAAGGAGACUGCCGGUGAUAAGCCGCGAGGAAGGUGGGGAUGACGUCAAGUCCUCAUGGCCCUUACGGGCUGGGCUACACACGUGCUACAAUGGCGGUGACAAUGGGACGCUAAGGGGCAACCCUUCGCAAAUCUCAAAAAGCCGUCUCAGUUCGGAUUGGGCUCUGCAACUCGAGCCCAUGAAGUUGGAAUCGCUAGUAAUCGUGGAUCAGCAUGCCACGGUGAAUACGUUCCCGGGCCUU